GGCCCAUUCUUCUAAAUGGUUAGGAAACAGGAUUUUCAUUCCUGCAAUAUCAGUUCGAUUCUGGUAUGGGUCA
rnacentral:tRNA from 1 species